GAUAUAACGAUGACAGAGGAAAGUAAAUGUACUUGAAGCUUACAGAGAGCAGGAGUAGAUGAGAACCUGCAGUGAAGAGUGUUUUGAAGUUCCCUCUUGAGUUUGGAGCUGAAGUAGAAUUAGGCAAAACGGAGCUUUCGCCGUUAAAAGAAAGAGGAUAUCGGAACUUGAUUCCUGUAUCUCUAUGAGAUAUCAAUUUUCUUAUAGUAUCUUUGCAACACUAAAAUUUAGCAGAUUACUAUAAUAUUAUUGAUAAUUAGGGUGGUACCACGUGAGCUCAGCCUCUCGUCCUUAUU
rnacentral:ncRNA from 1 species